GGUCCUUGGCAUUUGAUUUUUAAGACCCCAAUAUAUAAUUAAACCUGAGCGUGUGGUUACCAAACAAAUACAAACUAAAUCCAGACUAGGCAUUACAUUCCUCCCAGGCGUAUGGCACGAUAUGUUUCGCCACCGUACUUUUAAUACUGCGAUCAUUCCGCUUUGGCGUGCAAUGGUUUCAGUGUAUUCUGUGUGUGUGUUUAUAGUACGCAUGGAUAUGGGUGUAUUAUUGAAAAAUGACUUCAUUUACAGAUCUCUGCGAGCAGAAAUACUUUCUCCUCCAAAAACCGCGUGACUUCAAUAAGGUCAGGCAAAAAUACCUACGUGAACUGACUCUCCAGAAAUGUCCCUCAGUUGCGUUGCAUGCAUACAUGACAUGGGAUGACACUGGAAUUAACUAAUUAUGGCCUUUAAUUCCCAGGAGGGAACUUGUUAAUGCAAACCUGACCUUUAGUGUGUGUGCUGUAUAUUUUUAGGCGUUCUAAAUGUGUUUGGAAAGAAAUAGCGGCAAACCGGAUAACUACUUAGUCCUGUGACGAUUCUGUAUGGGUAGAUGUGCCUAUCAACCAGGCCUGCCAUGUUUGACCUUUGUGUCUUUGCCAAGCUGCUCAUAGACUCCAUGACACCCCAUGAAACUUCCCAAGGUAAGCCACGUGGAGCGCCCCCUUCUUUUGGAGAAUGGCUCCACCCAUGGGCAGGGCUAGCCACAAUCUGGGGAGGGACAAGCUUUUUGUAGGAUGAGCCCCAGGGAGCUCUUAGUGGGAGGGAAGUGGGUGGGGAGCAGGGCGAGGAUAAAACCGACCUGGAGACUCUGGGUCAAACCCAGAAAGCUACCAUGCAUGGUCAUUAGAGGUCUCAGAGCACCAAGAUAUGACCCUAGGCUAAAUACACCGCUGACAUAGGUACAGGGCCCUUUUCACUUUUUAAACCAUUUUUUUCCCUUCAGUCUUUGCUUUUCCUCUGUAAAUUAAAUUCUAUCUCUAAACCUCCAUCCUAUUCAACCUUCACUUAUCAGUUUCACUUCUUGUUCUGCAUCCCCUCUCCUUCUAUUUUUUAUCUCUUUUUUUUUCUAGUCUUUGUUUACUUUUUCUCUUUUUAUAUUUAUGUUACUUACGCAUUUUUCCCCUUAAACUC